AGAGUUUGAUCCUGGCUCAGGAUGAACGCUGGCGGCGUGCCUAAUACAUGCAAGUCGAACGGGGCGAAAGCCUAGUGGCGACCGGGUGAGUAACACGUAGCUGACCUACCCCUCUGCGGGGGACAACAGUUCGAAAGGACUGCUAAUACCGCAUAGUAUCGGAAACGAUUAAACUUCAGGGGCGGAGGGCGGGGGCUGCGGCCCAUCAGGUAGUUGGUGAGGUAACGGCUCACCAAGCCGACGACGGGUAGGGGGUCUGAGAGGAUGAUCCCCCACACUGGAACAGACAGACGGUCCAGACUCCUACGGGAGGCAGCAGUAAGGGAUAUUGCGCAAUGGGCGAAAGCCUGACGCAGCAACGCCGCGUGGAGGACGAAGCUUUUCGGAGCGUAAACUCCUUUUAGCAGGGACGAGGAAGGACGGUACCUGCUGAAUAAGCCUCGGCUAACUACGUGCCAGCCGCCGCGGUAAUAC
rnacentral:rRNA from 1 species